rnacentral:rRNA from 1 species
GAUGAACGCUGGCGGCGUGCCUAAUACAUGCAAGUCGAGCGAACAGACGAGGAGCUUGCUCCUUCGACGUUAGCGGCGGACGGGUGAGUAACACGUAGGUAACCUACCUAUAAGACUGGGAUAACUUCGGGAAACCGGAGCUAAUACCGGAUAAUAUUUCGAACCGCAUGGUUCGAUAGUGAAAGAUGGCUUUGCUAUCACUUAUAGAUGGACCUGCGCCGUAUUAGCUAGUUGGUAAGGUAACGGCUUACCAAGGCAACGAUACGUAGCCGACCUGAGAGGGUGACCGGCCAGAUGGGGACUGAGAGACGGCGCAGACUCGUACGGGAGGCAGCAGGGGGGAAUAUGGCACAAUGGGUGGAAGCCGGAUGCAGCAACGCCGGGUGCGGGAUGACGGCAUUCGGGGUGUAAACCGCUUUCGCGCAUGACGAAGCGUUGUGUGACGGUAGUGGGUAAAGAAGCACCGGCUAACUACGUG